rnacentral:rRNA from 1 species
GCUGGCGGCAUGCCUAACACAUGCAAGUCGAGCGAGAAACCGCCCUUCGGGGCGAGAGUACAGCGGCGCACGGGUGAGUAACGCGUGGAUAAUCUACCCUUACCUGGGGGAUAACACACCGAAAGGUGUGCUAAUACCGCAUAAUCCGGCAGUUCUGCGGAGCAGUCGGCAAAGGUGGCCUCUUCAUGAAAGCUGCCGGGCGAGGAUGAGUCCGCGUCCCAUUAGCUUGUUGGUAGGGUAACGGCCUACCAAGGCGACGAUGGGUAGCUGGUCUGAGAGGACGACCAGCCACACUGGAACUGGAACACGGUCCAGACUCCUACGGGAGGCAGCAGUGAGGAAUAUUGCGCAAUGGGGGAAACCCUGACGCAGCGAUGCCGCGUGGGUGAAGAAGGCCUUCGGGUCGUAAAGCCCUGUCAGGUGGGAAGAAUAGCCUCUGAUUGAAUAGGUCAGAGGCAUGACGGUACCACCGAAGGAAGCACCGGCUAACUCCGUGCCAGCAGCCCGCGGUAAGACGGAGGGUGCUAGCGUUAUUCGGAAUUAUUGGGCGUAAAGAGCGUGUAGGCGGCCGGUUAAGUCAGGUGUGAAAGCCCAGGGCUCAACCCUGGAAGGGCACUUGAAACUGAUCGGCUUGAGUUC